AAGCAUUAAGUGAUNNANCUGGGGAGUACGGCCGCAAGGCUGAAACUCAAAGGAAUUGACGGGGGCCCGCACAAGCGGAGGAACAUGUGGUUUAAUUCGAUGAUACGCGAGGAACCUUACCUGGGCUUAAAUGUAGAGUGCAUGAAGUGGAAACAUUUCUUUCCUUCGGGACUCUUUGCAAGGUGCUGCAUGGUUGUCGUCAGCUCGUGCCGUGAGGUGUCGGGUUAAGUCCCAUAACGAGCGCAACCCUUAUCGUUAGUUGCCAGCGGGUAAUGCCGGGAACUCUAACGAAACUGCCGGUGUAAACCGUGAGGAAGGUGGGGAUGACGUCAAAUCAGCACGGCCCUUAUGUCCAGGGCUACACACGUGUUACAAUGGCCGGUACAGAGGGCAGCUACCUGGAGACAGGAUGCGAAUCUCCAAAGCCGGUCUCAGUUCGGACCGGAGUCUGCAACUCGACUCCGUGAAGCUGGAUUCGCUAGUAAUCGCGCAUCAGCCAUGGCGCGGUGAAUACGUUCCCGGGCCUUGUACACACCGCCCGUCAAGCCAUGGAAGUUGGGGGUACCUGAAGUCCGUAACCGUAAGGAGCGGCCUAAGGUAAAACUAGUGACUGGGGCUAAGUCGUAACAAGGUAGCCGAAUCGAAU
rnacentral:rRNA from 1 species